UACGAAGGGGGCUAGCGUUGUUCGGAGUUACUGGGCGUAAAGGGCGCGUAGGCGGCCCUCCAAGUCGGGCGUGAAAGCCCACGGCUCAACCGUGGAAUUGCGCUCGAGACUGAAGGACUCGAGGACGGGAGAGGAUGGUGGAAUUCCCAGUGUAGAGGUGAAAUUCGUAGAUAUUGGGAAGAACACCGGUGGCGAAGGCGGCUCUCUGGACCGAUACUGACGCUGAGGCGCGAAGGCGCGGGGAGCGAACGGG
rnacentral:rRNA from 1 species